rnacentral:rRNA from 1 species
CCCUUAGAUGUUCUGGGCCGCACGCGCGCUACACUGACGAUGGCAACGAGUUUUUCCUUCGCCGAAAGGUGUGGGUAAUCUUUUGAAACAUCGUCGUGCUGGGGAUAGAUCAUUGCAAUUUUUGAUCUUGAACGAGGAAUUCCUAGUAAGCGCGAGUCACCAACUCGUGUUGAAUACGUCUCUGCCCUUUGUACACACCGCCCGUCGCUACUACUGAUUGAACUGGUUUUUGAAGUGUAGAGAUUGGCAGGCAUGUUUACGUGCAUUGCAAAGAACCACUCUGAAAAAAUCGUUCGAGAAGAAGUAAAAGUCGUAACA